rnacentral:lncRNA from 1 species
GACUACCUAAAUCGGCGCCCCGCCUUUCCCAGCCUCUGCCCGCGUCCCUUACCCCAAACUCGCCGGAAAAACUCGCCAACCCGGCAAGUUAACUCAUGGUCCCUCUUUCCCUUCUCUCUUUCUUCCACGUGGCCUGACAAAUAACCGAUUUUGGUUCGAAUCCGCGCUGUAUUUUGCUCUCUCAUACACGAAUCUCUUUCAACGGUAGAUGAUGGACGAAGGGUAGGAUAUGAUUAAUGAAAAUUAAUCAUACCCCUCCAUUUGCCUAGAUUUUUACCAAAAAGAAGGAGAUUUUCGUAAUUUUGAUGAGAUUUUCGGAUUUUUGAAGGGUUUUUGCGAUUUCUUGCAAAGGAAAGAGAGAAGCUUCAAGAGAGGGUUUUUUUUUUGGUCUGGACAGAGAUUUUAAGGGGGGAUUUCUUGACAGAAAAAAAUAAAAAGAUUUUAAGGACAGAGCUUUUCCAUUUUUGAGUUUCAAUUUGAGUUUUGGUAUUGAAUCGAGGUCGCUUGAGUCGUCGAUUGCUUGCCAGUUGAGGUCCGUUCGAGAUCGCGAGUUCCUCUUUCUUGGAUGCUGUUUGUCGUGGAUCUUCACUGCCAUAUUUAAGUGUAUUUGAUUGCGAUCAGAAUUAAUUAAGAGCGCUUUUAGGUCAUUUUUUCCUCCUACUCUUGUGUGUAUUAUGAAUCAAAGCCAUAGAGGGAGCCAUUUAAGAUAGACUAAUCAGUAGGAUUUUUAGAUUUAACUGAUUUUUCUUGCUGAUUUUGGCUGCUGGUUAUUGUUACUCUAUGAGUUUCCUUUUGGCAAGUCUCUUCAUAAGAGUUUGAAUGAAUUAGAAAUGUGUUUGAUUCCAUGGUAUCGCUUUACCGACCUUCUGUUUUCUUUGGUGAAUAACGUUGAAUGAGUUGCCUAUUUUGAAAUAUGGUAAAUGCUAACAAUUUUGAAAGAUUAACUCAAGUUCAUUGUGACAGAUUUUUUUUCUUUAAUGAGGUUCUGUUACUUGAUUUUUCUUCAUGUCCCAACCUUUAAUGCUAUGAUUUUGCUUCAUGUGGAUUGAAAGGUGGUUAUAGUUAUAUAUUAACUCGUUGUCCCAAUUGGAUUUGAUGGUGAAUCGACUUUAAGGUUGAAACAGUGUUUUGUAGUCCCUUAUGAUUCGAGAAAUGAGGUUGUUGGCAUGUUGUUUUGCUUUCCUUCGGUUAGUUUAAACCUAUAAUGAGUCGUGAAGGAUCUUCAAUUCUCUUAAACUGUUAGGUACAUGUAAAAGUAAAGAAAGGAAGAAAAAGAAUCAUGUGUUAUUCAAGAACUUAUGCCAUUGUCUUUGCUACUUUCCAUAUAAUCAUCAAGUAUUUUUGAGAUGUGUUUCAAUAAUAUGGAUAGAUGUUGUCACCAUGAAGGCCUCCAGUAUAUCACUGUUAUUCCCAAAUUUCAUGAGCUGUUCUAAAAAGCUAUCUCUCUUUCAUUUGAGCAAAAACUACUAUUCUAAAAAAUGAAUAUGGCUUCCAAUGAUGUCCAGAUUGCAAUGAAAAUGGGUCAAUUCGAUGUUCGAUUCGUUGUGAUUAUUAAGGCUGUUUAAAAACUUUGUUGGUCCUCUUGGAUUAAUUGUUUUUUUUGAGAUGAUAUCUGUUAUGCAGUGAGAAGUAUGAUUGAGCUACUGAUAUAGUCAUAGUGUUGGCUCCUCCUAAUGGCCUUGAUUUAUUUUCCUUAACUUGUAGUAGUUAUUACUAUUUUAGCUUUCCUUGUUCUUAUCUUCUAUGAAUGCCUAAGGUGUUCUGUUAAAUGCAUUACCUUGCUGAUUUAGCAUUGCUGGGUAUGGAAUUAUUUGAAUAGUUAUGGGGCCAUGGGAGUUGGGAGAGAGACUUGGCCUAUUAGUGUUAAUUUGCUUACUUACUUAGGAAUUGGGCUUGGUCGAAAUACAUGAAAAUAAUGAUAAGUUAACAGAACAUGACCCCGAAUUGAAUUUCUUUUAGUUUUUCACUUAUUUACUUAUUCUCGUUUUAUUAUUAUUCGCUAGGAGCAUGUUAGGCCGACAACAUUUGGGUAGGCAAUAUUAGGAUUUUUCUAUUUGCUUGCUUUUAAUUUCGGGGCAAGAGGUCGUUCCCCUAGUUGAAUUUAUCCGGGGAAUGACCUAAGGGGUUUGUAUAUAUUAUUAUCCCGGGUAUGCCCCAAAGAACUAUGUAAAUAUUUUGGAGGCCUUGUCGAGCAUGGUGGAGAAGUCGUAGUAUAGGUUAGCUUAGGAUUUUUCUUUUCCUUUCCUUUUCAUUUUCUUUUAUUAGGAGGGGAUAACCUCAAGCCUCAUGUGUGUUUAUUCUGCUUUUCUUUGAUUUUACUUUAACUUGAAUAUUCUAAAAGCCAACUAGAUCGGGUACGCAACUGUACUAGUUAUGGGACUUGGGGAGUGACUAACACCUUCUUUCCGAGUCAAAUGAACCCCCUUACCCAAACCUCUGGUGCGGACUUAGUUUUGAGUCCGAGUGUUUUAAAAGGAAAAAUAUUUUCUAAAAAAACCGGUGGCUUGGCACACCGAAAUUACAUGCCAGGUGGCGACUCUGAGUUUUCCUUUUGAAUACAAUCUUUGUCACUUUUUAAUUAAAAACCCUUUUCAAGCUUUUACUAAAUUACUUUUAUUAAUUUAAGAGGGUUGAGUGAAGUUUGGUUAAAAAAACGGUAUGACAUCUUUGGCGACUCUGCUGGGGAGUUGCAUAUUCGAGCUAGUACUACGAUCUUGUUGGCUUUUAGAAUAUUUGGUUGAGGUCUCUGAGCCUUUUCAUUAGCUUUACUUGAUUUUUAUUAUGUUUUUAUAUUUUUAUUAUUAUUUGCUAGUUGUUUAUGUGUUGACAGUUUUUGCUUUAUGUGUUUACUGCUUAUAACUGUCAUCAUUUGCAUAACCCCGAGUCUUCAUUCUGCAACAAGUCUUCCGGAGUACGUUUGAGCGUACACGGCCUUUUUGUGAGGUUACUAUGGGAUCGGGUUGCGUGACACAGCAGUGUUGUAUUAAUUCAUGAUUAUGAAGCCGAGGGCCUGAUUUGUUACGCUAAGAUGUGGCUUGUUAUGAGGCCGAGUUCCUGUUUGAUUAUGCCAUGAGAUGACUUGUUAUUGUGCUUGAGCUGUAAGGAGCCCCUCCAGGAGUCUGUACACCCCUAGUGAGCGCGGGUACCAAGUGUAAGAUGUGAUAUUUCCCGAGGGGCUAUUGUUGUUUCAUGUUAUUGCCCGAGGGGCUGAUACAAGUGAUUGUGAAAUAGCCCGAUGGGCUGGUUCUGUUGGUAUUUAUUUAUGUUUCAUUCCUUAUCUCCGUGAUUUCAUUAUUCGUUUGAAUUACUAAAACACAGGCUCUCGGUCUUACUCAGUCAGAAAUUUCUAAAAAUCACUCGGGCAUAGUAAAACAUGAUACUCAGCCCACAAUAUCAUUUAAAAAUGUCAAAACGGAGUAAACAUGGUUGAGUUAUGAAACAGUAGAAUACAACAUGACUGAGUAUAAAUAUGAAGUCAAAACAAUGAGGAAUAGUAAUAAAAAUCCCCUAAGGGUCCAAAACAGUUGGCACGAGGUCCAAAUACGACAUUCGGCCCAAAACAUGGUAAUAAUUUCCAAAACACAAUGAUAUCAACAAGUUUUCUUUCAAAUAUGCGAUUUAACAGUCAUAUGGGACAGACUAAGUCACAAUCUCCAACGGUGCACUACCCCACGCUUGUCAUUUAGCAUGUGUGUCACCUCAAAGUAGCACAACGAUGUGAAAUUCGGGGUUUCAUACCCUUAGGACAACAUUUACAAUCAUUAUUUACCUCUAUCCAGUCCAAACUCUAGCGCACGAUGCCUUUGCCUCUCGAAUCGGACUCCGAAUGCACCAAAUCUAUCCAAAAAUAGAUUUAUACCAUCAAAAUAUGCUAAGGGAACAAAGCCCACUCGAAAAUAACCAAUUUACAUCAAGAAUUCGAAAUUGGCCAAACCCGACCCCCGGGCCCACGUCUUGGAUUUCGACAAAAAUCACAAAACUAGAAGUUUUAAAGAUGUUUUCGCUGAACUAAGGUGUUUUAUGAGCUUUUACUGUUUUACUGCAUUGUACUGGUUUUAUACUUUUUUGCUGUAGCGUUAUGUUGUGUUUACGUGUUUUCUUAUCGCUCAACUACCUUUACUUUUAUUACUUACUGAAUUGGCAUACUAACAUUACUCCCUGCACCCUGUGUGUAGAUUCAGGAGUCUCAGGUCAUGCUAGCAAAGGCUGAGUGCUUCCACAACAGGCUUGUUCGGAGUUGACUAGGUAGUUGCUCGGCGUUCGCAGUCUAAUACUUCUCCUUCCUAUCUUUAUUUUCCCUUUGUACUAGCCUUGUAUUAGACUAUGUAUUCUUUUCAUAUUUUUAGACGGAUUUUUAGAUGCUCAUGACUGGUGACACCCCGAUGUCGGGCUCUGUUGUUUCCGCAUUGUUCUAUUCUACUCUAUAUUUUGGG